CUGACUGCGAGUCGGGCGCUCACAGCCUGGCAAGGAGGGAACACGCCAGGGAGGACACCGCCGCAGAGAUGGAGUGACGCUGCCGGCUCCGUGCGGGCUGAGACGGAGGGACCCCGGUCGCCGUGGCAGAAGAGGAGGUGGAGGUGGGGCGGUGAAGUCGGCUCACCUGGAUGGUCACGUGCUCCGUGCCACCACCGUCAGCGACAUUGAUGGACAGCGCGAAGCUGCCCGUUUCGCGCUCCGACUCGGAGAAGCGCACCAGAGGCCCUGCCAGGCUUUGACUGCGGCGAAUAAUCCCGGAAAAAGAUGAACUCCGAGUCACUCACAUUCGAUGCGGACCACGUGUGCGAGGAACUUCAUGAUGGACGUGCUAUGGCUGGCGCCAGGAAACAAUUCCUUCAGCCAUGCUGAGGAAGACACAAAGGGGACCGCGAGUUGAUCCUGCCCACGUGGACACGACGAGCCUUGCGAGCUGCCG